rnacentral:lncRNA from 1 species
UCCCACAGCUGACCUGAUGCACACGCCCGCCACCACCCCUGUGUGCUGUGGUCUCAGUGCCCUCCUGCAGCUCCCCGGUUUGCUACAGUGACAACAUAGUCCUUCUAGAACCCUCCACGAACAGGGAAUGUGGCCCGUGAAAUCUGAAGCCAAAGGCUCAGCUCUGGCCUCACCACCCGAGAAGCCCCCUGGCCGCCUGCCCACACAGCACAGCGCUGGCCACUCCUGCCGGCCCCACCUUCUCCUGGCUAGGCCCCUCCGGAAGGACAGGAGUCUCUCCCCGGCCCUGGGGUCCCAGGGCUUGGGGUCCCAGGGCUUUCCCGGAGCUGACCGAGGCCCGGAAGUCCCGGCAGUGAGGGCCGGACAGGGCCUGAGCACCCGUCUGCGCUGUCAACCUGCACCCGGCCGCGCCGUCUCCCCAGCAGCAGCCCCCACCCGCUUUGCCCUGCGCCCUCGUACCCCAGCGUGGGCUCUGAGCGGGGGUCCUGUGUCGACAGCGUGUCUCCAGUGCCCCGACUGCGCUCCCAGCUCUCCUCGCCGGCCCUCCUCUGCCCCUGCCCGGCCUCUGCCUCUGGCUCAGCUGCUCCCACCCCCAGGCCUGGCACUGGGUGCUCCCACCCCUCCUCGCUCCCACUGCCAGUCUCCCUGGCACGGCCCGCUGGGGAACAGGUUGGGCCGGCUGUGAGGCUGCUGUGUCUGCAGGGAGGGCUGGCAGGGCCCCGCCCGAUAAGGAGAAGCCCCCCGAGGCGAGAUGAGCUGCCAGCCACCUCCACCCCCACGCAGCGGGUCCAGGUCUGCAGGAGCAACAGUGGCUCCUUCUUUUCUGCUCCCCUGUGACCAACUGGAGGUAGGUGGAGGGGCCUCCACAGCAGGGAGCAGCUCCAGGGUGAAGCACACUUGGUUUGACUAUUCUCCUGUUUACUGUGUCCCCAGGCAGGUGACUCAGCCUCUCUGAGCCUCUCUGAAGUAAGAGUCACGCACAAGUGUCAUGGUUCUUGAGAGAAUCCUGGGCAGAGGACAGGAGGUGGGUCACAGCUCCUGAUACAGAGCCAGUGCUGCUCAGAGCUGGCUGCUAGUGUCGUUCGCACACGUUCUAGAUCUGGGGGAGCAGGAGGCUGCUCAGACUCCUCCCAAGCUGGCACCAAGAACACCCCCACCCACUCAGGGCAGUAAAAAGAGCUUCCUGGCUGUGUGCUGGUGUGCCCUGGCAGGCCGCGGGGACAAACCUUGGGUAGGACUGGAGCCGGCCCCGGGGGAGCCACAGGCUACUGCAAGUCCCGGGCCUGGAAUCCUUAUUUAGCAGCCAGUAAGAUCGCAGGAAGGAAACUGGCGUCUGGGACAGAGGCACGGGAUAGUGUCAGGGCUGCCAGGGCCCCUCGAAGAGCAGCAGGUGGGGGGCCUCCUGCCCCCAGGCCCUGGUGGCGUGCCAUGUGAAUUCUAUCCAAGUGAAGCCAUUUUUCUUUCGGCUGUCAAGGGACCUUUAUUUCUAUGUGGUGCUGAGAAUCGAACCCAGCGCCUCACACGUGCCAGGCAAGUGCGCUACCGCUGAGCCCCAGCCCCAGCCCCUAGAGCCAUGUGUUAAAGAAAAAUAAAUUGACCGGGCCUGGUGGCCCAGCCCUGUCAUCCCAGCCACUCAGGAGGCUGAGGCAGGAGGAUUGAAAGUUUGAGACCAGCCUCGGCAACCUAGUGAAAUCGUCUCAAAAAGUAAAAAGGGCCAGGGUGAAGCUCAGUGCUGGAGCCCCUGGUUCCAAAUUCAUCAGUUAAAAAGUGAAAGCAAGAACCCACACAGCCUUUAAGUGUCUUAAAAUAUGCUCUCCCCAAGCCGUCUCCCGCCUCCCAGGAUCUAGGGCAUUAAAGUCAAGUCGUCCUCAGAAACUCAUCACCCGUCUCGCAUUGGUUCCCUUGGCUGCUGCUGGAAAGAAUCAUUGCAAAUGGGGGAAGUUGAAGACAGGGGAAAUGUCUCCUGUCCUGGCUGGGCGAGGUGAGGAAGCUGGAAGCAGUGGCCACGCCUGUCAUUCCAGCUGCUCGGGAGGCUGAGGCAGGAGGAUCGCGAGUUCAAAGCCAGCCUCAGCAAUGGCGAGGUGCUAGGCAACUCAGUGAGACCCUGUCUCUAAAUAAAAUACAAAAUAGGGCUGGGGAUGGGGCUCAGUGGUCGAGUGCCCCUGAGUUCAAUCCCCAGUACCCACCUACCCUG